CCAUAUUCCUUUACUCAGUGCAGAAGGGACCAGACUAGAGAAGACCAUGGGUUACUUGCUCAGACUUUGAAGGGCAGAGAGGAGACAUAGCGUUGGAGAUAAAGGAGGCUGGAGUAUUCAUUAUUCCAAUUCGCAUUACAACAACCUGAUGUGAAGAAUGAUGGCAUCUGGUAGCUUACAGUGGAGUACAGGAAGUUGAACAAAAUUGUCAUGUCCAUCACUGAAGCCAUUCCUGAUCAGUCAAGGUCCUCCUGAAUCCAGGGCCGGUGCUCUAUCCGCUGUGCCACCUAGCUGCUCCCAAGAGGCACCCCUUUAAGGUCAACGAGGCGCACCACUACGUCAGCAACACAACGUCAAGUGGACAAAAUGAAGCCACAGUGACUGAGAUCCUAGAUUAGAUGAUGACUCAUAUAAGGGACAGGAGGCUAGUCUGUGUCUACUGUUAUUCUAGCCCCAACUGCUCCAGGACUGGCUACCUAGCUGCGUGGGUGCCUUGGAAGAGGAAGGUGGACCGGCACCAAAAGUCAAACAAAGAACACAAAUGGGAGGCAGCCCUAUCCCAGUUUAAGCUCGUGUCAAAGGCUCAUGAGCUCAGGAAUUUCAAGGAAAUGGGGGAAGUGUACCCACCCCACCUGACCCACUGCAGAGCCCAGAAAGUCAUCCUGAUACUUCAAGACUGGCAAAGAGAAGAGGUCUGAGAUUUGCAUGUCCUGAUAUAGAAAUAAGUGCACAGAACCAGGACAGUGUUUUAUACAAUAACAAUAUGAUAAAGACAAAAAACUCUGAAAGACUUAACUCAGAUUUCCACUUUAGUAUAUCUACAAGUUUUGGGCCAACAGCCAAUCUAAAAACUUUUUUGUCACUGCACAGUAUGAAGCCCAUUAAUCAUCAUGACUGACAUUCAGGGAAUAUCUAAGCCUGCCUUGAAAUGUUGGGACACAACAAGAGUGCCUCCCUGAUGUGUGUGUGUGUAUAUCUCUGGAAACAUAUUUACCCCAAGUUUCCAUGAUCUGAAUGCCAACUGAGCAUGCUCCAAAGGGUGGAGAAAGGAGUACUGUAUAAACAACACAUCAAAAAAAUCUGACAUGCAAAAUCCCACACCCAUCAUCUCCCAUUGCUGCAAAGGAAAGAGAGGUAUCUUUUUAAAUUAAUUUUUUUCUCAUUUAACAAAAAUCUGCCCUCUUCUGAUCAUACACACACUGGAAAAGAAAGAAAAAUCAAGAUGCUUGUAAUAAAUACACAAAAUAAAGCAAAACAAAUUCUUUCAUUGGCUUUGUCCUGAAAAAGGCCUCAACCUGCACCAUAAAUCUAUCACCUCUCUGUCAAGACAGGGAUAUCAUUUUUAAUCAUUAGUCCUCUAUAAUUAUGGUUGGUCAGAUUUCUUAACUCUUUUAAAGUUGUCUUUACAGUACCGUUAUUAUAUAAAUUGUUCUCCUCAUUC